AAGAGAAGGGGCAGCAGCUGCUGAGUGAACCUCUGCAGGGUGCUGGGAGCACUGGGGGAAGCAGGGAGGAUGGGAGAUUUUGGAAGCCAGAGCCGGGGUAUGUGGAGCUGGAGAAGAGACUCCACCAUUUCUCUCUGAAAAGUUCCCACCUGCAGGAGGUGCUGCUGGGAUUCAAAGAGACGCUGCGACAGGAGCUGGGGAGUGACACAGGCUGCAGAAUAAUAUCCCCGGGUCAUUCAGGAUUCUCUCAGCCUGUGCGGGGAAGGGAAAUAUGUGCAGCAGAGCUGGCUCAGGGGCCGGUGACCUUCGAGGAGGUGGCUGUGUAUUUCACCAGGGAAGAGU